ACAAACCGGAGGAAGGUGGGGAUGACGUCAAGUCAUCCAUGGCCCUUACGGCCUGGCUACACACGUGCUACAAUAGGUCGGUACAAAGGGUUGCCAAGCCGCGAGGUGGAGCUAAUCCCAUAAAACCGAUCGUAGUCCGGAUCGCAGUCUGCAACUCGACUGCGUGAAGUCGGAAUCGCUAGUAAUCGUGAAUCAGAAUGUCACGGUGAAUACGUUCCCGGGCCUU
rnacentral:rRNA from 1 species